rnacentral:rRNA from 1 species
UACGUAGGGGGCAAGCGUUGUCCGGAUUUAUUGGGCGUAAAGAGCGUGUAGGCGGCUAGAUAGGUCCGUUGUGAAAACUCGAGGCUCAACCUCGAGACGUCGAUGGAAACCAUCUGGCUAGAGUCCGGAAGAGGAGAGUGGAAUUCCUGGUGUAGCGGUGAAAUGCGCAGAUAUCAGGAAGAACACCCGUGGCUAAGGCGGCUCUCUAGUACGGUACUGACGCUGAGACGCGAAAGCGUGGGGGAGCGAAACAGG